ensembl:lncRNA
UCAUAGUUGGCUAUUAUCUUCAGGCUUUCAGCCAGCUCUGCUGACUGCAAUCACAACCAUAAUAAUUGGGUUAAGAGAAGAAAAAAAACUCCAACACUCUCCCUCUUUCUCUCGCUCUCUAUCUCUCUGUGUCUUUGUCUCUCUCUCUCCUUCCCUAGCUGUGCUGGCUGAACAGUAUUGAUGGUAUCCUAGUGACAGGUUGGCAGUGUGUUGGUAUCCUAGUGACAGGUUGGCAGUGUGUUGGUAUCCUAGUGACAGGUUGGCAGUGUGUUGGUAUCCUGGUGACAGGUUGUCAAUGUGUUGGUAUCCUAGUGACAGGUUGGCAGUGUGUUGGUAUCCUAGUGACAGGUUGGCAGUGUGUUGGUAUCCUAGUGACAGGUUGGCAGUAUGUUGGUAUCCUAGUGACAGGUUGGCAGUGUGUUGGUAUCCUCGUGACAGGUUGGCAGUGUGUUGGUAUCCUAGUGACAGGUUGUCAAUGUGUUGGUAUCCUAGUGACAGGUUGGCAGUGUGUUGGUAUCCUAGUGACAGGUUGGCAG